GCCAACGAUCAUACCACGUUGAAUACACCAGUUCCCGUCAAAUCACUGAAGUUAAGCAACGUCGGGCGUGGUCAGUACUUGGAUGGGUGACCGCUUGGGAACACCACGUAUCGUUGGCUCUU
rnacentral:rRNA from 1 species